rnacentral:rRNA from 1 species
UACGGGGGGGGCAAGCGUUGUUCGUAAUUACUGGGCGUAAAGGGCUCGUAGGCGGCCAACUAAGUCGGAUGUGAAAUCCCCAGGCUUAACCUGGGAACUGCAUCCGAUACUGGAUGGCUUGAAUCCGGGAGAGGGAUGCAGAAUUCCAGGUGUAGCGGUGAAAUGCGUAGAUAUCUGGAGGAAUACCGGUGGCGAAGGCGGCAUCCUGGACCGGCAUUGACGCUGAGUGAGCGAAAGCCAGGGGAGCAAACGGG